rnacentral:lncRNA from 1 species
GGGCGGUAUGUAGGUAUGUAAUUUGAUAUACAUCAUGGCCUUAUCCCCCAAACACUGGCUGGGAUAUUCUGGGGGAAUGGACCAAUGAAAGGAAUUUAUUCCCAGUCUCUGGAAUGGAGAAUCCUUUUCUUUGUCAAUGGUGGUUUCCCUUAUCCUUGAAAUAUAGAAGGAAUGUCUACAUCAUAGUCUCAAUUGAUAAUGUUUGAUAAAAAGAUGUUUAGUGUCAUCUGAAUUGCUGACAUUCUCUUUAUUCUAGUCUACUUGUAGUUCCAAAUUUCCACAAUCAAACAAACAUGACUAGACAAUACUUUUCCUAUUAAAUGGAAAUACAUUAGAAAUAAACUACUUUAUAUAUUUUGGCAAUUAAGGCAAAAAGGCAUCUGAACCUACUUCUAACCUUUUUGCAGAAAUAAUGCUAAAGUAUUAUAAAAAAACGCUAAAGCAAGGUAAUAAAAUGGGCUGGAAAUAGAUGUUUAUAGAUGUGAGGAUUUUCUUGCAUGUGUGAACUCCAAAAUUUUUUUCAACUGUGAAUUUAAGU